rnacentral:rRNA from 1 species
AAAACGACUCUCGGCAACGGAUAUCUCGGCUCUCGCAUCGAUGAAGAACGUAGCGAAAUGCGAUACUUGGUGUGAAUUGCAGAAUCCCGCGAACCAUCGAGUCUUUGAACGCAAGUUGCGCCCCAAGCCGUUAGGCCGAGGGCACGCCUGCCUGGGUGUCACGC